AGAGAUAUUCUUCAAAAUGAUAGUUGUAACAUACUAGGAUUACAAAUAUAUCAAGAAACAAAAGAGAAAUGUUCUUGUAAGAUUUCUGUCUGAACUAAUGAACUACUCCUUUUUCAGAUCCAAACAACUAAAAAAAAUUGAAGUAGACUACAUAUAUAGUAAUAGCAGUAACAAGUUAUUAAUUCGAUUGUGGUGGAGGAGGAGAUCUGCAAAUAAUUUGACAACGACAAACGCUGUGAUUUGGUGUUACACUGAGACUGCAUUCACAAUUUUGAACCAUCGCGCUUGCUGGGAAUAGCCUAACUGAAGCACUAAGACAGUCUUGACUUGCACUAAUACCACAAUCACCAAUUUUCCCGAAGCUAACUGGGCAUAAUUUUUGUUGUCCUACAAUCCAAGGAAUAAAGCAAAGAAAGAUUGAUCAACAUUUGAAGCAUAACACAAUUUUCUUUCAAUCCAAAAUUUCUCAUGAAAUAUUUAAUAGUAUAGUCUGGAUAAUCGUCUGAAAUGCAAUAUGGCAUAUCCGUAAGCCCUUAAUGCAUUAAAAAUAUCAUAUUAUAUCUGAAAACUCCAAAAAAAAGGAUUAGACUUAGAGUUUAUAGACUUCUAGCAAGUAGCCACAGAAAAAAAGAACAACAUAAAAGUAACAGUAUAAAAAAAAGAAGGCCAAAAACAAAUAUGAUAUAAUGCAUUCACAGUUUUGGCUUAAUGAGCAAUAAAGUAUGUUGGGAUUUUAAGCUCUCUGGUUAAAAUCCCAGUGGAGGGAAAAAUUAUUAGGUGAUUAUUUCCAAUCCAUAACAUGUAUCAUGGGAAUUAGUUGAUACGUUUGACAAAUAAAACUAAUAAUUAAAAUAAAAGAUUCUAAAAUGAAAGAAUAAGAAAUGCAAGAUAAAAUUGAACGCUUACCCAUAGAAAGAGGAACUAGACUUAGCAAAAGUACUAGCAUAGAUAGCAUAGGAAGAAAGUUACAGUUCUUCAUUUCGAAAAUUC
rnacentral:lncRNA from 1 species